CCCCUAGAUGUUCUGGGCCGCACGCGCGCUACACUGACGAAGGCAACGAGCUUUCCUUUACCGAAAGGUACGGGUAAUCUUUUGAAACUUCGUCGUGCUGGGGAUAGAUCCUUGCAAUUAUUGAUCUUAAACGAGGAAUUCCUAGUAAGCGCAAGUCAUCAACUUGCGUUGAUUACGUCCCUGCCCUUUGUACACACCGCCCGUCGCUACUACCGAUUGAAUGGUUUAGUGAGGCCUUCGGAUCCGCAACUCGUUUUGUGGAGAAGUUGGACAAACUCAGUCAUUUAGAGGAAGUAAAAGUCGUAACA
rnacentral:rRNA from 1 species